GACGAACCGUGCAAACGUUGUUCGGAAUCACUGGGCUUAAAGGGCGCGUAGGCGGCUUGCCAAGUCGGGGGUGAAAUCCAGCAGCUUAACUGUUGAAGUGCCUUCGAUACUGGCGAGCUCGAGCAAGGUAGGGGUGCGUGGAACUUCUGGUGGAGCGGUGAAAUGCGUUGAUAUCAGAAGGAACGCCGGUGGCGAAAGCGAACGCACUGGACCUUUCUGACGCUGAGGCGCGAAAGCUAGGGAGCAAACGGGAUUAAGAA
rnacentral:rRNA from 1 species